UACAGAGGAGCCAAGCGUUGUCCGGAUUGACUGGGCGUAAAGCGCACGCAGGCGGCUGCGCGCGUGGGGUGUGAAAUCUGGCCGCUUAACGGCCAGGCGCCAUCCCAUACGGCGCGACUGGAGUGAUGCAGAGGUCGAUGGAAUUGCCGGUGUAGUGGUGAAAUGCGUAGAUAUCGAGAGGAACACCUGCGGCGAAGGCGGGUUGCUGGGCUGACACUGACGCUGACAGCGCGAAAGCUAGGGGAGCGAACGGG
rnacentral:rRNA from 1 species